GACGAACCGAGCGAACGUUGUUCGGAAUAACUGGGCUUAAAGGGCGCGUAGGCGGGCCGCCAAGUCCGAGGUGAAAUCCUCCGGCUCAACCGGAGAACUGCCUCGGAUACUGGAGGCCUGGAGGGGGGUAGGGGCGUGCGGAACUGUGGGUGGAGCGGUGAAAUGCGUAGAUAUCGUCAGGAACGCCGAUGGUGAAGACAGGUGACUGGGCUAGUUCUGGACACUGAGGCACGAAAGCGUGGGGAGCGAACGGG
rnacentral:rRNA from 1 species